rnacentral:lncRNA from 1 species
AGGCCGCCCGCCUCCUCCUGUCCGACAUGUGGUCCAGCAGGGAGCUGCAGGGGCUGCUCAGGCAGCAAGGCUUCGAUAGGAGCAUGCUGGGGACCUUGGCUGGGGCCAACAGCCUCAGGAACUUCACCUCCCGCUUCUGAGAGGGGCCGCCCGCACGUUCAGCUUGCAGACGUGAUCCGACCAGCUGAGCAGACCCGGGCCUUGCUGCAGGCGUCUGUCCACCUGCAGUGUUUGGAGAUGUUCAAAGCCAGCCACGAGCACACUGGGACACUGCGGUGGAUGAAAAUAUUUUUAGAUUCUUUCUNNNNNNNNNNNNNNNNNNNNNNNNNNNNNNNNNNGGGGAGCCGGGGGCUUUCUUGAGUUAAGGGGGCUUAUGUCUUGAUGUUAAUACUUCUUUCGCUGAGAAACGGUAUAUAUACACAUGUAUAGUGUGUGUGUGCGUGCGCGUGUGUGUGUGCAUACGUGUGUGUGGAAGGCAGGCCCUGGAACUGCAGGGCUGGGUGAGCUGUGGGCUGAGCUCACAGUGGCAGCAGGCCUCGCGCUCAUAGACGUGGGUUACCUGUGCUUGGGGUUUUGUUCCCCGUCAUCCCGAAGUGUGGGUGCCAGGCCCUUACCAGCACCAGAUUGGCAGGGCUCAGUGUAUCUCUUGGGAAAUCUGGCAUGGCCGUGCGGCUCUCCCACGGUGCCUGGGGCUGGGGCUGGGCGGCCGUGGGGUCUGCUGGACGGGCCGGGACAGGCAGGCUGGCUUUGCUGCGUGCAGUCUGUCUGGAGAGUAGGUCCUGGGGGGCGGCCGACCAUUCCUGCAGGGCGAGUACCCAUCAGAGCAGGCUCACCUGGGAGCCCUGGCCUACAGGGGUGA